GAGAGAGAGAGAGAAAAAUACGUAGAAAAUUAUUCGUUUCGUUUAUUUUUUAAAAAUAAAUUUAAUUAAAAAUAUAAAAUAAUUAAAUUUGAAAUUUAAGAUUUCGGAUACUGAUCAUCAAGUUCGUAAUUAGGCAACUGCGUUAGAUACGAUCGAUAAUGAUUUUAUUGAUUGCUAAAGUUGUAAAUAAUAAUAGUUUUGUUUUGUGCUUUUUUUUUUUUUGUAAA
rnacentral:lncRNA from 1 species